AGGGCCCUACGGGAGGCAGCAGUGAGGAAUAUUGGUCAAUGGGCGAGAGCCUGAACCAGCCAAGUCGCGUGAAGGAUGACGGCCCUACGGGUUGUAAACUUCUUUUGUCAGGGAGCAAUUGGGUCCACGUGUGGGCUUAGCGAGAGUACCUGAAGAAAAAGCAUCGGCUAACUCCGUGCCAGCAGCCGCGGUAAUACGGAGGAUGCGAGCGUUAUCCGGAUUUAUUGGGUUUAAAGGGUGCGUAGUCGGAAUAUCAAGUCAGCGGUAAAAAUUUGGGGCUCGACCUUGUAGUGUCGUUGAAAUUG
rnacentral:rRNA from 1 species